rnacentral:rRNA from 1 species
UAACGCGUGGGAAUCUGCCCUCUGGUACGGAAUAACUCAGGGAAACUUGAGCUAAUACCGUAUAAUGACUUCGGUCCAAAGAUUUAUCGCCUGAGGAUGAGCCCGCGUCGGAUUAGCUAGUUGGUGAGGUAAAAGCUCACCAAGGCGACGAUCCGUAGGUGGUCUGAGAGGAUGAUCAGCCACACUGGGACUGAGACACGGCCCAGACUCCUACGGGAGGCAGCAGCGGGGUUUAUUGGACAAUGGGCGAAAGCCUGAUCCAGCAAUGCCGCGUGACUGAUGAAGGCCUUAGGGUUGU